UGGGGAAUUUUCCGCAAUGGGCGAGAGCCUGACGGAGCAAUGCCGCGUGGAGGUGGAAGGCCUACGGGUCGUCAACUUCUUUUCUCGGAGAAGAAACAAUGACGGUAUCUGAGGAAUAAGCAUCGGCUAACUCUGUGCGAG
rnacentral:rRNA from 1 species